CCUACGGGGGGCAGCAGUGGGGGAUAUUGCACAAUGGGGGGAACCCUGAUGCAGCGACGCCGCGUGGGUGAAGGAGUGCUUCGGCAUGUAAAGCCCUAUCGGCAGGGAAGAAGCAAGACGGUACCUGACUACGAAGCCCCGGCUAACUACGUGCCAGCAGCCGCGGUAAUACGUAGGGGGCGAGCGUUAUCCGGAUUCACUGGGUGUAAAGGGAGCGUAGACGGCCAUGCAAGCCAGGGGUGAAAGCCCGGGGCCCAACCCCGGGACUGCCCUUGGAACUGUGCGGCUAGAGUGCGGGCGGGGCAGGCGGAAUUCCUGGUGUAGCGGUGAAAUGCGUAGAUAGCAGGAGGAACACCGGCGGCGAAGGCGGCCUGCUGGACUGCGACUGACGUUGAGGCUCGAAAGCGUGGGGAGCGAACAGGAUUAGAUACCCCUGUAGUC
rnacentral:rRNA from 1 species